rnacentral:lncRNA from 1 species
UUUUUUUUUAAUAGUACUAGUACCAACGCAGGAAAAGUGCUCUCCAGACAAGCUACAUCCCCAGCCCUUUCUUUUCUUUUUCUUUUUUUCUAUUUUGAGACAGGGUCUCUCUAAAUUGCCCAGGAUGACCUCAAACUUGCUAUUCUCCUGCAUCACUCUCCCAUGUUGCUGGGAUUACAGGCAUGCACCACUGUGCCCGGCUUGAUAGUUCCUUUUAAAAACAAACCAUUCUUUUGUAAUUGAAUAUCAUCCUUUGGUUUAUUUCUUUGGGGGUUAAAUCUGGUCCUGCAUUGGAUUUGCUCAUAGUGGGAGAUUCUGGAAUUAAGAGCUAACAUUAAUCAUGUUUAUAAGUAUAACCAAAUCCUGUGGGUUCUGUUUGUUUGACAGGAUUUUGCAGUUAUUUCAAAGUUUUUGCAAGAAUCUAUUUUAAAUUUCAGACAUCUCAAUAACUUGGUGAAAAUCUCCUUUUUUCAUGAAUCCAAAGCCCUUGCUCAGUUUUUGUUUCUACAUUUGUGUUAUUUAAAGUUUGGGUGUGGGGUACCAUUGUUCUUAAUUUUCAUAAACCCUAGUUUUGCUAGGAAAGGGGAGGAUCAAUUGGUACCUGUGGAGGACGUUUGGGUGGGCAUAGAGCGAGUUGGGGGACUAGAACUGCCAGGCUUCUCUCCUACACUGUGCCUCUGCUUCAUAGAGGUGUUGUGAGAAGCAAAAAGCCAACCAGAUCUUGCUUGGAAAAAGGAGUCCAGUAGGACUACAUUUGCUUCUUAGGCACGAAGGCUCAUCCCAAGUGCAUUAUUCAGCUCUCCCGUGUCUGGUGUUCUGGGUUUCUCUGAAGUGGUUGUAACAAUCAGGUAGCAGAGAAAUCUGUUUGCAGGAUUUAAUUGGAUUAUGUAUGCAAAAAUGUAAAAAAAAGUUCGAAAAGUGAAUGAAACAUUCUAUUUGUCUAAUAAAUAUUCUAUAAGGUAUGAAACGGAACCCUAAAAACUUGGAAGCAAAUUAGGAGCUUCUGAGCACUUAGAAGGAAAAAUAUGUGAUUAAAAAGUACAUAGUUCUGGCUAGAUUUUUGAGAAACUCUUUCAAAUGCAACUGUUUCUCAAACUGCAGCCUAAACCGAUUCCAGUUAUUUUGGUUUGAUUUUACUCAAUUAUGGAAUGUUUAAUAUUUGGCUCUUCUCUAUUGGAUGGGAGGAAUGAAUGAAAUGGGAAAGGUGAACUUUUGCCUCAAGAAAUAAUGGCCGUACUCAUGACAGAUAGAGGAUGUUAGCAUUUUCUUUACGACGUGGUCUGCUGCAAAUAUGGCCUGUUCUUGUAAAGACUUAAGGUAAAUGAGGUCGAUAUUAAAAUCUGUCUAUGCAUGGGUUUAUUUCCAUGAAGUCAGUGCACAAAAAUUUCAUGUAUCAGGGAAUGUUGAGCUGUGUAGCUUUCCUUUUUAGACUUUGACAUAAUCUCUGUGUGUGUGUGUGUGUAUGUAUGUGUGUGUCUCU